UUCUAGUAGUGUGAAUUGAUUGAAUUUGACUUGAUUUUUUGUUUAUUUUUAUUUUUUUUCUAAUAAAUGUUAUCUAGGGUUUUGUGCUUAAGUUUUGCAGAUUGCAGUUUGAUCAAGAAUUUGAUUAUAUGGGCACUCAAUUUCAUCAAAAUGAUUUCAAUCACUGAUGGGACCCUCAUUCAAAUAUAUAUCGUAACCACUUAGGGCAUCAGUCCUCUUCGCGAAAAGAAACGUUAGGGGAAGCCAAAUAACGUUUACGGCAGGAACUAUUCUCUGUACCAAAAGAAACGUUGUGGGAAGUCCAACAAUUCUUGCGACAACAUGUAUUCUCUGGACCAAAAGAAACGUUGGGGGAAGCCCAACAACGUUUACAACAAAAACAAUCUCCUGUACUCAAAGAAACAUUAGGGGAAGCUCAAGAACGUUUAUUGCAGGAACAACACUCUC
rnacentral:lncRNA from 1 species